rnacentral:misc_RNA from 1 species
UCUCCGUAGGUGAACCUGCGGAGGGAUCAUUACAGAGUUCGUGCCCUCACGGGUAGACCUCCCACCCUGUGUUAUUAUACCUUUGUUGCUUUGGCGGGCCGCACUCGGCUACCGGCCCCGGCUGGUACGCGCCCGCCAGAGGACCCCAAACUCUGAAUGUUAGUGUCGUCUGAGUACUAUACAAUAGGUAAAACUUUCAACAACGGAUCUCUUGGUUCUG